rnacentral:rRNA from 1 species
GACGAACGCUGGCGGCGUGCUUAACACAUGCAAGUCGAACGGAAAGGCCCUGCUUUUGUGGGGUGCUCGAGUGGCGAACGGGUGAGUAACACGUGAGUAACCUGCCCUUGACUUUGGGAUAACUUCAGGAAACUGGGGCUAAUACCUGAUAGGAGCUCCUGCUGCAUGGUGGUGGUUGGAAAGUUUCGGCGGUUGGGGAUGGACUCGCGGCUUAUCAGCUUGUUGGUGGGGUAGUGGCUUACCAAGGCUUUGACGGGUAGCCGGCCUGAGAGGGUGACCGGCAACAGUGGGACUGAGAGACGGCCCAGAAGCCUACGGGAGGCAGCAGUGGGGAAUAUUGCACAAUGGGCGGAAGCCUGAUGCAGCAACGCAGCGUGCGGGAUGACGGCCUUCGGGUUGUAAACAGAUUUCGCAUGUGACGAAGCGUGAGUGACGGUAAUGGGUAAAGAAGCACCGGCUAACUACGUG